GGGUCAGUAGGUUGGUCGUGCCACCGGUACGUACUGGUCUCACUGAUUCCUCCUUCCUGAAGAGCCGUAAUGCCAUUAAUUUGGUGUUGCGGGGAAACAGGACUGUUACUUUGAAAAAAUUGGAGUGUUUAAAGCAAGCUAACGCUUGAAUACAUUAGCAUGGAAUAAUGAAAUAGGACGAUCGAUCCUAUUUUGUUGGUUUCUAGGAUUGACGUA
rnacentral:rRNA from 1 species